GUGGGGAAUCUUAGACAAUGGGGGAAACCCUGAUCUAGCCAUGCCGCGUGAGCGAUGAAGGCCUUAGGGUUGUAAAGCUCUUUCAGCUGGGAAGAUAAUGACGGUACCAGCAGAAGAAGCCCCGACUAACUCCGUGCCAGCAGCCGCGGUAAUACGGAGGGGGCUAGCGUUGUUCGGAAUUACUGGGCGUAAAGCGCGCGUAGGCGGACCAGAAAGUUGGAGGUGAAAUCCCAGGGCUCAACCUUGGAACUGCCUUCAAAACUCCUGGUCUGGAGUUCGAGAGAGGUGAGUGGAAUUCCGAGUGUAGAGGUGAAAUUCGUAGAUAUUCGGAGGAACACCAGUGGCGAAGGCGGCUCACUGGCUCGAUACUGACGCUGAGGUGCGAAAGCGUGGGGAGCAAACAGGAUUAGAAACCCCAGUAGUCC
rnacentral:rRNA from 1 species